ACUCUUUUGUACCCAAUGUCUGUUGGUUUUCCUCCCUACUCAAUAUACUCAUUGCUAUCAAUCAAAAAGCCUCACACACACGCGCGCGCGAAGGAACGUUGUUGACUCACAAUUACGAAGAAGGAAACACCGCGCUCUCAGUGCUCGUUGGCUCACCUCGGUGUGUCCUAAACCCGCGCGUCUCAUAGAUUAUAGAGAAGGAAUCGCCGCUCCCGACACUCAUUGCCCUCACGUUCUCAAUUCGUCUCUCAUCCCAAGCGGUAAUGCUGCAAACUUUUGUUUUCCAUUUGUAAUUCGGUUCUUAUAAUCUAGCGAGAACCUUCACCCUAACUACGUGCUAGCACGUAGAAUCUCGAGAAGGAAACGCCGUUACCGUCACGUUUUCAAUUGUCUCUCAUCUAUUGUGUCCCAAACGGUAAUGCUCUGUAAUUUCAUCUUUUAUUUGUAAUUAUCCUUAUAACUAUCUCUGUAAAUGCUGGGCAUUAGGUUCUAUGAAUUCUCUUAUCAUAGGUCUUCUCUAGUUCCUUUUACCUUUAGUUUAUUUUUAGCUUAGACCUUAAUUUGAUUUUAAUUUGUUAAUUUUUAAAAUUGGGAUUGAGGAUUGGUGUGGGUUUAUGGCCGUGAAGUUCACUGGGUCUAGAAGGGCGGCGAUGGUCAUUAGUUUGUAGUGUAAAAGGGAAUAAGCUCAAAUUAAUAUAAUUAUAGAUAAAGUCAAUUAUGUACUUUGAUUACCAUAAAUUUAAGAAUAGUGUAAGUAUCCAAACUUAGAAUCACCGAGCUUUCAUGUUUCUAAUGCAAAAUGUUCUAUUGUGUUUGAACCCAUCCAACUGAGGUCACUGCCAGUGUCAAGUAUCAACCAAACAUGUUUAAGAGGUGUUCCAACAAACAUGUCUAUGAAAUACUCUCCUGUGCCAAGAUAGGGUCCAAACUCCAAGUUUGUGAUGAUAUUACCCAAAAACUCAUCUUUAGAAGAUUCCAAUGAUGCUACAAAAGCAUUAGCUAGGUUGUUCUGCUACUCGAUGGUGAUACUUUCCUUCACUUCUUACUUCCUUGACAUGUUGUUUGUGUUCUUUUUCUCUAUGACUUUUCUAUGAAGAGUUUGACUUCUGACCAAAUCCCUGAUUGUUGAGUCCAGUACAUGAGUUUUAGGCCCAUUCCAGUGAUUCAUUGGCUUGUGUCUUAGGUGUAACUUUGUUGAUAUAACACCACCUCCAUCUUCUUCCUUAUUUAAUCCAGUUGGUUAUGAACUUUUGGCUUUCCUGUAAAAUUCUUUGUUGGUGAUAGUUCGAUCAUUAUUGUGCUCAUUUUGAGCAUCAACUUCAGUGUAUGCUUUCAAAGCGACAGAAAAUUGAAAGGACCAAAACAAGGAAAACUUUCUUGACCAUAGUGUUGCUUUCUCCUUGUUUGGUCGCAUGCCCAAUAUAAAGUUAGAAAAAUUUCCUAAAGUUUAUACUUGGAGAAUGGAAGGAAGCAUUCAGAAGUUAGAUUAAAGGAAACAACCAUUGACAUCUGGAGCUGCAAUGCAGGUAACAAAGUCCACUCAAAUAGUACACAAAAAGCAAGAACAAAGGAAGCAAUCCUUGAACAAUGGUGUUGCAGCCUAGCCAAUUAAAUCUACUUUAAUUCCUAUACAGAAGGACUUAAGAAUGACUCAUCAUGAUCAAGUAUUAGAAGAAGAACAAGCCUCUAAGAAAAUUAUUGAGCAGAAUUUUGUUAAGAGGCAAGUAAGGUCUAUUGUGGGAAAUCAAGAUCAGGGAUUAGCAUAGGAACACACUUUUAAGAAAAUAGAUGAGCAAACGAAAGGAUUUUGUCAGAGUAAAAGUGUUAAAAGGUGGUUAAUUAGGUGUACAACAAAAAAUCAAGUUGAAGGAUCAAUGGAACAAGCUGCUACUAAGAAGAAAAAGACUGUCUCAAAUGUCCAGCUAUGCCACUUAAUGAGUACAUUAAUAAGAAUGACCAACAAGAUUGGAGCAAGGAAUUGAGGUAUAAACUAUGAUAAUGAAGUAACUGAGGAUACUGAUGUAAAUAAUUUUGAAGGUAACAUCAUUAUUAAUUAUUAAUUUUGAUUUUUUU